UCAGAGGGCUGUUGGAGGAGUAGAUGAGGUGCUACAUGCAGGGCCCUGAGAACUGUCCUGUCGCUCAGGAAGCAAGUUUUGCAGGGUGUGGACAAUCGGGCAAGUGACUGCAUGUGACAACAGAGAGAGGGCAUGGUACACGGUGGCAGAUGAGCCCGGGACUGGAGGCAGAUCUGGGUUCCAGUUCGGGCUCUACCAGCAGCACCCAUGUGUCCUUCUGUUCUCUGGGCCUCAAUUUCCUGUUGUAAAAUUCAGAACUUGGAAGAGGCCUGAGCAUUAGAAGACUGAGAAACACCUGGGAGGAUCUUGUUUCAACAGAGCUCAAAGCCGUGGCAAAAGGACGGAGCUCGAAUUGUGCAAUUUUGUUUUUCAGAAACCCAGGCCCCCAGCAAAUGGAAAAUGCCAUCCACUGGCACAGAGACUUCAGUUGGGAGCCGAGGACUGAACUCAGACCACCAUUCUUUGUUCAACAUUUCUUCCUGAGGGGCCUGGAGGAAGUCACACCCACAGGCCAGAGCUCAACAUUCCUUUCUGCUGACCCCAGGCACCAGUCCAUGGCACUCCCUAUGCCUGCAGGAUACCACAUCAAAGCAGAGUUGGGGGAGCAUUUCAGGAGGUUCCUGUGAAAAACCUACAUGCACACACCCCCACGUGCAGCUGCAGACUGCUAUCUAUACACGAAGUUAUGCAUCGCAGAGUCGACUGCAAAAGGCUGGAGCCCACACAGCGUCUAUCAAUAGGGAACGGGUUAAAUCGACCACAAGAUUUCCAUAUGACGAUGGAACACUUUCCAGCCAAGAAAGGAGGAGGAAGUCCUCACUGCUCUGAUACGGAACAGUCACCAAGACAUAUUUUAAGUAAAAAAAAGGCAGCAUGCAUAACCAGGGAAAUGAAAACUAAAACCACAGUGAGUUACAAUUUCACACAGAUCCAUCUACAAAAAAAAAAAAGCUGAUAAUUGCAGGUGUUGGUGAAGAAGUGGAGUGAGGGGAAUGCUCAAACUACUAGUGGGUGUGCGAAUGGUUAUAACCACUUUUUAAAAUUUUGGCAUUAUCUACUGAAGUUGACAAUGUACUUUCCCAAUGGCCUUGCAAAUGCCCUGGAGAAGUUCUUACCCAACCCCCGCCAUUCCCCCCAACACACACCAAAAGAAACAAUUAAGAACAUUUGCACCAGCUCUGUUCCUAGAACCCCAAAACUGAGGCCAGCACUGAGGCCAAGCACAGUGGCUCAUGCCUGUAAUCCCAGCAGGCAUGAGCCACCCUUUGGGAGCCUGAGGCCGGAGGAUUAUUGAGGUUGAGAGUUCAAGACCAGCCUGGGCAACAUAGUGAGACCUUGUCUCUAUAAAAGAAGUUUUAAAAAUUAGCCAGGUGUGAUGGCUCAUGCUUGUAGUCCCAGCUAAUUGGGAGGCUGAGGUAGGAGGAUCGUUUCUUGAGCCCUGGAGGUUGAGGCUGCAGUGAGCCAUGAUUGCACCACUGCACUCCAGCCUGGGCAACAGAAUGAGACCCUGUCUCAAAAAAUAAAAUUAAAUUAGAAAACAAUAAUAAUUAUUAUUAAUAAAUAAAAUAGUCCAAUGAAAAUAAUCAUACUAUCUCCAUGCAAUGGAAUUCUAUACAAGAGUGAAAAUGAACUAACUCCGGACAUGCGUAUCAGUACACUGAACUUCAGAACUAUAAUUAUGGGUGGGACAAAAGCCAGCCAUAGAAAACUAUUCUAUUCAUAAUCCCAAAAAGGUAGUAUACCAUAUUCAAUUAUUAUAUAUAUUUAUGUCUUGUUAUAUAUAAUGUUUAUUACAUUUAUCUUAGUAUAAAAAUAUAGUAUAUUUAUCAUAAUCUAUUAUAAACAAGUAGUAGGAUUAUAAAAAGACAAAAAGGGCAGGAUAAGCGUAAAAUUCAUGAUAGUAUUUAGGGGAAGAGGAGGGUGGGGCUGGAGAGAGGCACAUGGUUUCAAAAGCCCAGCUUCUUUGUCUAAAACAGGGCGUGGGUACCCAUACUGGUCUAUUGUAUUGUGGGUGUCUUUAAAAUGUAUAUAUAUUCUAUAACUACUAUUUUUGUAUCUACUCAAUAUUUAAUUUUAAAAUUUUAAAUGAGGCCUAGAACACUAUAAAAAGUAUGCUACCAUUUGUAUAGAAAAAGUGGACACACACAUCACUCAUGUGCAUAGAUUAAAGUGUCUCUGGAAACUUACACAUGCAACUGGUGAAACUGGUUUCCUCUGGGGAGGAGAACUGGGAGGCUGGGGACAAGGAGGGGCAAUAAAUCAAUUGAAAUUAAAAAUCACAAAAUUUAAGGAGAAGGAGACAAAGAAGGGAAGGAGGAAGAGAAGGGAGGGUGGAGGGGAGAGGCCAAGUCCUGGUCCCAGGAGGGACAGGGAGCAGAAAGAGGAGGACUGGCCAGGCUCUGGCUAUCAAAACCUGUGUGUGCCACAGGCACGAGUGGAGCCAGAAGCCUGCAGUCCUGCCCAGGAAAGCCUGUGUCCUCCGCGCACAACUCAGGCUUAGACCCAGAGAAUGCUCUUUCUUGCACCUGAGGACGGGGCUGGCUUCAAACAGUUGCCCAGGUUGACCCUGGCUCUGCAGUCUUUUGUUUCCAGAGCUUUGCUUCCAAACGAGGCUCCCUUGGGUCUCUUUCCCUGGCCCUGCCUUCUUAUCUCCAACCUUCACCCCACCUGUGAUCCAAGCGAUUCCUUUGAAGUUGCUUCAGAGUCUUCUGAGCCUUCAUCCUUGAUGACUCUGAAAUGUGCGUCUGUGGCACCAAGGUCAGCCAACAGCAAGUAGGCCCUUUUCAUCUCCUUUUAAACCUUCCCCUCAAGGACUCAGUGUCCUUGCUGUAUUGCCUUAUCAAAACCUGCUCACAUAUCCUUUGUUCACACUGGGAUACCGGUCAUUUAAAGGAAAACAGGCCCACUCUAACCAGGGUCACUGCCAAGUCCCUAAGUAUCAUGCCCUUGAGAGGUAAAAGCAUAAAGCACUAAGGGUAGAAUUUUGGGCAACAGCCAGUGGACAAGGACAAAAUGGGUGCAAUAUGCAGGGGUCCCUUCUGCCCCACCGGUAACCAUAACACCUCAGGACACAGGCUGGGGUCUGUAUUCAAAAGUGGGUCCCUCAGACCGGGCACAGUGGCUCACGCCUAUAAUCCCAGCACUUUGGGAAGCCAAGGCCAGCGGAUCCCUUGAGCCCAGGAGUUUGUGACCAGCCUGAGCAACAUGGCGAAACCCCAUCUCUACAAAAAAUACCAAAAUUAGUCUAGUCGGGCAUGGUGGUGCACACACCUAUGGUCCCAGCUAUUUGGGAGGCUGAGGGGGGAGAAUCGCUUGAGCCCCAGGAGGCAGAGAUUGCAGUGAGCUGUGAUCGAGCCACUGCACUCCAGCCUGGGCAACAGAGUGAGACCCUAUCUCAAGAAAACAAAAACAGAAAGUAAAAAAGCAAUCCUCGAGCAAAAGUGGGUCCCUCAGAGCCCAAUGACAGUGAUGAGGAGGAUGAGGUGGGAAAGGUAGUGUUACUCUGAACUAAAAAGGACUGCCCAGUGUGACCCUAUCUCCCAAACAGCCCAUGCAGGGAUCUGGGUGGCACCAUAGUACAGAAGUGGGUGCCAAGAGAGGCCUGGGCUGCACAGCCAGGUGCAUACAUGCCCUGGAGUCCAGGACAGGAUCAGCAGCAAAUCCACUCCAGGGAGCUCUCCCCCCUCACCAUCCUCUCAAUCAGGGUUCCCCAGUUGAAAAGCACCUUGGCAGUUCAUAAUUCUCCCUCUAAAGCCAGAAAGUGCUGUAAAGGAUAACAGAAGCCUGGCUGCACAGUGGAGCUUAAUGGAAGUCAUUCAACAAGCAGGUCUGGAGCAAACAUCAUGGACCAGCAGUACUGUGUGUUGGCACAGAUGUGAAGCAACUAUACUCUGAUACGGCUUGGAUAUGUGUCCCCACCCAAAUCUCAUAUUGAAUUUUAAUUCCCAGUGUUAGAGGAGGGGCCGGGUGGGAGGUGACUGGAUCAUGGGGGCAGAUUUCCCCCUUACUGUUCUCACGAUAGUGAGUUCUCAGAUCUGGUUAUUUUAAAGUGUGUAGCACCUCCCACUUUGCUCCCUUCCUCCUGCUUUGGCCAUGUAAGAUGUGCCUGCUUCGCCUUCCCCUUCCGCCAUGAUUCUAUGUUUCCUGAGGCCUCCCCAGCCAUGCUUCCUAUACAGUCUGCAGAACCGUGAG
rnacentral:lncRNA from 1 species